rfam:Butyricicoccus pullicaecorum 1.2 genomic scaffold acBRa-supercont1.3, whole genome shotgun sequence.
GGAUGUGGCUCUGGAGAAUCCCAACCAUGGGUGCCGAAGGUGCAAGGUGCAGAAAAUGCGCUAAUCUCUCAGGCAAAAGGACAGAGUGGAUUUU